CGGACCACAAAGUUUGAAUUUAUUAUAAUGGUUUUGUCAGUCAAUUCAGGAAAACAGGGAAACACAUCAUCCUAUUGUGAAUUAAAAACACCAGAAAGAUAAAGCAACGCAGUUUUAAUGUCUCUCAAUUGCACGACAAAUUACAUCGGAGCACAAUUUUAAUUUUUAAACAUCUUUUCGUUUUCAUAAGUCUUAAUACCGAGAUUACAGUAUUAGGUGGGAUAAUUAGGCCAAUUUAUUUUUAAGCUCUGCCAAAACAACAAUUAAAAGCAACAAAACAAAAGGCGGUGCGCGGUGGGGGAGGUUUUGGGCCCGGCGGUGCGCGGCCCCGCGCUCGGCGGGCGGACAAAGGGCGGCGGCGGCGGCGCUCCCGCGGCGCGGCCUGCAGCUCCACCUAGCGCGGGCCUGCAGCGCCCGCUCCGCCGCGCCUGGCCUCCCUGCAGGCCCCGGGCCACGGCCCCGGCUCCUCACUCCUGCCAGGACUCACGUUCCGGGGGUGCUUUCGCCUGCCGUGCAGCGUUAUCAAAAGAGAGGAGCAGCUGCGAGCUUCACAGAUUGAGCAUACAUCUGAACAUUUAACGGCCCUGGUUUAUCCUGGCUUCAAGGCAUCACAGUAUAAUAUUCACUGACAUGAAAGCUGAAGAAAGGAUGUCAUGGGAAGUCUGA
rnacentral:lncRNA from 1 species